AUUGAACGCUGGCGGCAUGCCUAACACAUGCAAGUCGAACGAGUGGCGGACGGGUGAGUAAUGUCUGGGAACCUGCCUGAUGGCGGGGGAUAACUACUGGAAACGGUAGCUAAUACCGCAUACCAUCAGAUGGGCCCAUAUGGGAUUAGCUGGUUGGUGGGGUAACGGCUCACCAAGGCGACGAUCCCUAGCUGGUUUGAGAGGAGGACCAGCCACACUGGAACUGAGACACGGCCCAGACUCCGACGGGAGGCAGCAGUGGGGAAUAUUGGACAAUGGGCGCAAGCCUGAUGCAGCCAUGCCGCGUGUAUGAAGAAGGCCUUCGGGUUGUAAAGUACUUUUGGCGGAGAGGCGGUACCCGCAGAAGAAGCACCGGCUAACUACGUGCCAGCAGCCGCGGUAAUAC
rnacentral:rRNA from 1 species